rnacentral:tRNA from 1 species
GCGAGAGUGGCGGAACUGGCAGACGCUUACGGCUUAGGACCGUAUGCCUUUUUAAGGCUUGAGGGUUCGACUCCCUCCUCUCGCA